ensembl:lncRNA
AAAGGCUAAUUUUGUUAAUGUCGAUGUGAAACACUCGUACCGUAUUAGUUUGUAUGUAAAGCUUGUAUUUUUCUUCCAAUAUAACACCCCCCACUCCCACACACGCGCACACAGAAUUGUUUAUGAAUAACUGUACUGUAAAUGUUGGUAAAUCUAUAAUAUGUCUGUGGUAUAUAGUGUGUUUUCUUUUCCACUCUGUGUAUAUAUGUGUACUGGUGUAACGUCUUAACGUUGUGUGCGUGUGUGUGUCUGUACUUAGUCGUACUGUGUUAGUGUCAGUCCUGUGGUGUUGAGUCUCAAGUCCUCAUGCAGUUUGAGACACAAUUUGUCCUUUGACAGGACUCAAGCAGCAACGAUGAUAUUUAAUAGUGCGAAAAUAAUUCUGCGUACUUCAAAUAAAACGUCACACGAAUGCAGUUGAUCAGCCGGGUUUAGUGUCCGAAGUUUCUUUACUUUUGCACCGGUGCUAUUAACGCUUCUAACCCUUGUGUCAUCUGACUCUGAGGUAAAUGAAACUUUGAGGUAAAUCAGACACUGAGGUAAAUCAGAUAUUGAGGUAAUAGGACAUUGAGGUAAAUCAGAUAUUGAGAUAUUAGGAUAUUGAGGUAAAUCAGAUAUUGAGGUAAAUAGGACAUUGAGGUAAAUCAGAUAUUGAGGUAAAUAGGACAUUGAGGUAAAUCAGAUAUUGAGAUAUUAGGACACUGAGGUAAAUCAGAUAUUGAGGUAAAUAGGACAUUGAGGUAAAUCAGAUAUUGAGAUAUUAGGACACUGAGGUAAAUCAGAUAUUGAGGUAAAUAGGACAUUGAGGUAAAUCAGAUGCUGAGAUAAAUCAGAUAUUGAGAUAAUAGAACACUAAUCUAAAUUGGACAUUGAGGUAAAUAUGACACUGCGAUAAAUUGGACAUUGAGGUAAAUCAGAUAUCGAGAUAAAUAAGACAGGUAAAUUGGGCAUUGAGGCAAAGAGAAGACUGAGGUAAAUCAGGAAUUAAGGUAAAUUGGACAGUGAGAUAAAUCAGACAUCGUGAACAUUUCAUUUUUGACUGAACUUCACCAUGCUAAAACAUUUACUCACAAUAAGGAGGUCAUUAGCAUUAGCUGGUUUAGCCUCUCAGCUGAGUGAAUCCUCUACUAAGAAUAAUUUCAGCUUAUUUACUGAAGUCUUGUACUAAAUAUAAUCUACAUUAUUGUGGGAUCAUGAAAAACAGUCGUGUAACCAGUGUAGUGACACACCUGAGCUGUAACCCACCUCUGUUCUGACUUCCUCGCUACGCCACCGCUAGACAUGUGCCGAUAGUCUGCUAUAUUGUCAUUUUUUACAUAUAUAAUAUUGUUAGCAUCGAUACCUCAAAAUAUUAUCACUCCCCUUUGCAUUCAGUUUGCGAAUAUGGUGCCUUAGUGGGGCUACAUUGUUGUUUUUUCCCCCCAAAAACAAUAUCUGUCGCAUCCUGUAGGUAGCAUGAGGAGAAACUAGUUAACGGUCGAUGCUAAGUGUUAUUUAUCACCACAUCUGAGGUAAAUGUUGAUGUUUCACAUAAUACUGUCUUGUUUCCACCGUCACUGUGUCUUUACAUUGUCCAUAUUUUGAGUACUUAAUGGUUAGGUAAGUCAUUAGCCUUGUUUUCAGCUAAAUAACUAUGUUAUAAUUCAGUGUUCAUGCUGCUUACUUACUUAGCAACAGAGGUCUAUUGAAUUUUACCAUUUGGAUGUCAAGUGUGUAUUUAACUUCCUACAUGGAACACACUAAUAUAAUCUAUUACCGUUCCUAACAUUUCAUUAUGAUUAAAAGUCAUAUUAGUGUUUGUAGACCAUAUGUUGUUCCCAGGAUAAAAUUUGUAACUAGC